CACGUAGGGGGCGAGCGUUGUCCGGAUUUAUUGGGCGUAAAGAGCUCGUAGGCGGUUUGUCGCGUCUGCUGUGAAAAUCCAGGGCUUAACCCUGGACCUGCAGUGGGUACGGGCAGACUAGAGUGCGGUAGGGGAGAUCGGAAUUCCUGGUGUAGCGGUGAAAUGCGCAGAUAUCAGGAGGAACACGGUGGCGAAGGCGGAUCUCUGGGCCGUAACUGACGCUGAGGAGCGAAAGCAUGGGGAGCGA
rnacentral:rRNA from 1 species